UGAUGUUUUUACCGCUCAUUUCACAGUAGUACACCGAUUUUCUUUAUUUACCGUGUUGUCUCGUGAACAGAUUUAACUUGUGUCCUGCAGGGAACCAAACAGCAGGUGAGUCAAAACAACUGCCGCCAGACAUGCAGACAGAGAAAGAGGACGACGAAGAUGCGUCUCCAGAAGAGUAUGUUGCCUUGUCUAACUUCACAGGAAGUGGCAACGACCAGCUUACUUUCAGCCGCGGGGAUAGGCUGCUCGUGCACGCCAAGCCUUCAUCAGAGUGGUGGUGGGCAGAGCUGGACGGGGUCACAGGUUAUGCACCCGCCGACUACCUGCGACAGGAUGCUGCUGAGGAGGAGGAGGACACCUCCCUGGAGGACCCAUGGCAAGAUGAAGAAUACUUCGGCAGUUAUGGGACACUGAGGCUUCACUUGGAGAUGUUGUCAGAUAAGAGUCGCACUGAGGCGUACCGGCAGGUCAUUCUUAGCAAUAGUGGUUCUCUGCAGAAUAAGGUGGUGAUGGACCUUGGCUGUGGGACUGGCAUCAUCAGCUUGUUCUGCGCUCAGCUGGCACAACCCUCAGUGGUAAUGUCGACAGUAUCACUGGUGUAUGCUGUUGAGGCGAGCUCCAUGGCAGAGCACACCAGACAGCUGGUGAAGCAGAACAGCUGUGAGGACGUGGUCACGGUCCUCCAGAGACGCGCUGAGGAGAUUGAACUACCUGAGCAAGUGGACGUGCUGGUUUCCGAGUGGAUGGGUAACUGCCUACUGUUUGAGUUCAUGGUGGAGUCUGUUCUGCUGGCCAGGGACCGCUGGCUUAGGGAAGGUGGUGUGAUGUGGCCCUCAUCUGCGGCCCUCACCCUGGUGCCGUGUCAGGCUGACAGCUAUUAUGCAGAGAAAAUGGCCUUCUGGGAGCGGCCCUACGGCCUGGACUUCACUCCUCUUCAGCCUUUGGCACAGCAGGAGUUCUUCACCAAGCCCAAGUUCAGCCACCUCAUUGAGCCCGAUGACUGUCUCGCUGCCCCGUGUGAUGUGAUAUGCCUGGACAUGUACACUCUGCAAAUCAAAGACCUGGAGGAAAUAAAGGGUCAGUUUCAUUUUUAUGUGGAAAGGUCUGCCGUUUUCCAUGGAUUCACCGCCUGGUUCACUGUUCAUUUCGAGAGCCUGGAGACGGGAGGCGCAGCAGUGGAGCUAAACACCGGACCUAACUCUGAGCCGACACACUGGAAGCAGACUCUCUUCAUGCUAGACAGACCCGUUAGUGUGUAUGCUGGAGACUCGAUCAGUGGAACCAUUGUCUUGCGCAGGAACCCUGUCUGGAGACGCCACAUGAACGUUACCCUGCACUGGAAAGUUUACUGCAGCACAGAGGAAACAGACAAGUGCCAGGCAAAUGUCUAAUCUUCACUUUACACUUUACAGUCUCCUUAUCUGAGCGAUGCAUUGACGAUUUCAAGUGGUGGUUGGGACAAAGACUUUCCCCAUGUGGAGGUGACAGAAUCUCCGUCAGCAGGGGAGAUAUGUAGAAAAACAACAAUAAUAAAUCUUCUGUUGAGCUUUAUGGUCAGCGAGGUAUCGGCUGUGAGCUGCUUCUGACCUGGAAUAGAAUGGAAAGUUUGACUGACGCGUUGUAGUGAAUGUUAAGUCAAAAGAGGCUCAUCUGGCAGGAUACGUAGUCCUACAGUGUCAAGCCAGGUAAGCACAGGCUGCCAGGUGAUAACAGCACAAUAUAAACCAUGUUUUAAGAGCAGAUUAACAGAGAAAUUUCACGCUAACAAUGAACUGUGGAGAAUUACAGAAAAAGGGGCUUUAUAGAAGACGGUUGUGUUGACAAUGGUUGGUAACUGAAACAACAAAUUGUUUUUGACAGAUGUCUGUAGCCUCUAGGUGCAACAAAAUAAAUGGUUCAGUUCUCCACA